GGCCACGUGGCGGAGUAGCUACGCAGCGGUCUGCAAAACCGUUUACACCGGCGCAAAUCCGGUCGUGGCCU
rnacentral:tRNA from 3 species